rnacentral:rRNA from 1 species
AGUGAGCGCUGGCGGUAGGCCUAACACAUGCAAGUCGAACGGCAGCACAGUAAGAGCUUGCUCUUACGGGUGGCGAGUGGCGGACGGGUGAGGAAUACAUCGGAAUCUACUUUUUCGUGGGGGAUAACGUAGGGAAACUUACGCUAAUACCGCAUACGACCUACGGGUGAAAGCAGGGGAUCUUCGGACCUUGCGCGAUUGAAUGAGCCGAUGUCGGAUUAGCUAGUUGGCGGGGUAAAGGCCCACCAAGGCGACGAUCCGUAGCUGGUCUGAGAGGAUGAUCAGCCACACUGGAACUGAGACACGGUCCAGACUCCUACGGGAGGCAGCAGUGGGGAAUAUUGGACAAUGGGCGCAAGCCUGAUUCAGCCAUACCGCGUGGGUGAAGAAGGCCUUCGGGUUGUAAAGCCCUUUUGUUGGGAAAGAAAAGCAGCAGGUUAAUACCCCGCUGUUCUGACGGUACCCAAAGAAUAAGCACCGGCUAACUUCGUG